GAUUUUUUGCGGUCGGGCCAUACUAUUUCAUGCUACGUCCAUGAGGUACUUCGAGCUAACUUGAAAACGCACACAUUGUUUAUCGUCAAACCUGAGGCAAUACCUGAUAAUUAUGUGGACUAGAGAUGGAAACAUUUGAAGGGUUGUCUCGGUGCUCUCGAUGGUACUCUCAUAAAUGUUUUGGUUUCUAAUUCCGACAAACCACCUAUCAAAACAGAGACUACAAAUGCAAUGAUUUGUAUAUGCAGCAACAAAAUACAGUGUUCAUAUUGACCUCCAAACAUGUAAACACAAAAGAGAGAGUUUGAACCCAACAAACAGAAUGGCUUAAAUAAAACAUAGUUUGUAUA